CUUAUCUCACGUUCUAGACUUUGCUUUUUAUACUUGGGGGUAAAUAAGUGUCCUGGGUCGUAUACAAUUCUUCAAAAUGCGACCUAGGGUUUUGGCCAUGUAACACUGUCGCUCGAGCGACACUUUGGCGACAGCUUCUUCGCUCGAGCUACACAGUGGCGACAAACGGGAGACGAUGGUUCGGCUUCAUCCACUUGAGCAACAACUUGGCGAGCAGCUAGCGAAAAUUCGGCUAGUCUUCUACCUUGUUCCAAACUCAACCCUAGCCUAAACCACCAUACAAAUUGCAACCCAAGUCUUUGACUUUUACAAUGUGUUCAAUUAAGUCCCUUUUAUUCACAGAAUCACCAAUUAUGAUAUAGAACCUAACACACCACUCUAGAAUGUUGGGGUAAAUCUAAAGAUAGACAUAGGUUUCUAUUGAAUGGGUAUCAAUAAAUUGGUUGAAAGUUUAUUUAGUUUAUUCUUGUUUAGAACAACAUGAAAAAUAUUGAAUUUCUUGAUGAAUAGUCACGACUAAAUACACAGCCAAACACGCUAAACCUGCAAUCCAUGAAUCUAAAAUCAUUUUUUUUAAUUAAUAUAAAGUAAAGUAACCAAAUCUUGAAAUAGUGAUGACUAUUCUAUUGGAUAUUAUGAUAUUUUCAUUGAAUUAUCCUUAGAGGUUAAGUUGUACUUUUUUUACCACUUAAUUAAUGACACCUUUCUCGACCUUUCAAACAGAAAAAAGGAUCAUCAGUAAUUGGUAACGCAGCAUGCAUCUUUUGUCGUGGAAAGAUUAAAACCUGACCUGUACAUUUGGAUCAUAUGUAGAUUCUCCACCUCUAAAUAAAAUAAAUCGCAGGUGCAAAGGAACAUAGAUUUUCUUUUAUUUUUUCCUUUUGAAGGGUAAGGGGUCGUUUAAAUUUA
rnacentral:lncRNA from 1 species